rnacentral:rRNA from 1 species
AGAGUUUGAUCCUGGCUCAGGAUCAACGCUGGCGGCGUGCCUAAUGCAUGCAAGUCGAACGGGUUGCUUUCGGGCAAUCACGUGGCGGACGGGUGCGUAACACGUGGGCAAUCUGCCCCGAGGUGGGGGAUAGCCAUCGGAAACGGUGGGUAAUUCCGCAUGAGCUCGCUUUUCUGUGGGGAGAGUGAGGAAAGCCGAAAGGCGCCUUGGGAGGAGCCUGCGGCCGAUUAGCUAGUUGGUGGGGUAACGGCCUACCAAGGCGAUGAUCGGUAGCUGGUCUGAGAGGACGGCCAGCCACACGGGGACUGAGAGACGGCCCCGACUCCUACGGGAGGCAGCAGCAAGGAAUCUUCCGCAAUGGGCGAAAGCCUGACGGAGCAACGCCGCGUGGGGGAAGACGCUUUUCGGAGUGUAAACCCCUUUUCUUGGGGACGAAAGACUGACGGUACCCGAGGAAGAAGGACCGGCUAACUACGUGCCAGCAGCCGCGGUAAUACGUAGGGUCCGAGCGUUGUCCGGAGUUACUGGGCGUAAAGCGCGCGCAGGCGGCUUCAUAAGACUGGCGUGAAAGCCUCCGGCUCAACCGGAGAGGGUCGUCGGUGACUGUGGAGCUUGAGAGUGGCAGGGGCUGGUGGAAUGCCUGGUGUAGUGGUGAAAUGCGUAGAGAUCAGGCGGAACACCCGUGGCGAAGGCGGCCAGCUGGGCCAAAUCUGACGCUGAGGCGCGAAGGCGUGGGGAGCGAACGGGAUUAGAUACCCCGGUAGUCCACGCAGUAAACGAUGCAGACUAGGCGUGGGGGGACUUGACCCCUUCCGUGCCGGAGCCAACGCGGUAAGUCUGCCGCCUGGGGAGUACGGCCGCAAGGCUAAAACUCAAAGGAAUUGACGGGGGCCCGCACAAGCGGCGGAGCGUGCGGUUUAAUUCGACACAACGCGCAGAACCUUACCAAGGCUUGACAUGCGACUGCAGGCCCCGGAAACGGGGCGUCCCUUGAGGGUGUCGCACAGGUGCUGCAUGGCUGUCGUCAGCUCGUGCCGUGAGGUGUUGGGUUAAGUCCCGCAACGAGCGCAACCCCCGCUGCCAGUUGAAUGAUCUGGCGGGACUGCCGGUCGCAAACCGGAGGAAGGUGGGGAUGACGUCAAGUCAGCAUGGCCCUUACGUCUUGGGCUACACGCACGCUACAAUGGCCGGGACAGAGGGUUGCCAAGCCGUGAGGCGGAGCCAAUCCCCCAAACCCGGUCUCAGUUCAGAUCGUGGGCUGCAACUCGCCCACGUGAAGUCGGAGUCGCUAGUAACCGCAGGUCAGCAGUACUGCGGUGAAUAUGUUCCCGGGCCUUGUACACACCGCCCGUCACGUCAUGAAAGCCGGCAAUGCCUGAAGCCGGUGGGCCAACCUUCGGGAGGCAGCCGUCGAGGGCAGGGUUGGUGAUUGGGACGAAGUCGUAACAAGGUA